rnacentral:rRNA from 1 species
UAGCGGGAGGCCUAACACAUGCAAGUCGAGCGGGAAUGGCAGCAAUGCCAUGAGAGCGGCGCACGGGUGAGUAACGCGUAUGCAACCUGCCUUAAACAGGGGGAUAGCCCAUGGAAACGUGGAUUAAUACCCCAUAUUAUUAUUUAUCCGCAUGGAUUUAUAAUCAAAGCUCCGGCGGUUUAAGAUGGGCAUGCGUGACAUUAGUUAGUUGGUGAGGUAACGGCUCACCAAGACAACGAUGUCUAGGGGUUCUGAGAGGAUGAUCCCCCACACUGGUACUGAGACACGGACCAGACUCCUACGGGAGGCAGCAGUAAGGAAUAUUGGUCAAUGGGCGCAAGCCUGAACCAGCCAUGCCGCGUGCAGGAAGACGGCCCUAUGGGUUGUAAACUGCUUUUGUCAGGGAAUAAACCUGUCUACGUGUAGGCAGCUGAAGGUACCUGAAGAAUAAGCAUCGGCUAACUCCGUGCCAGCAGCCGCGGUAAUACGGAGGAUGCAAGCGUUAUCCGGAUUCAUUGGGUUUAAAGGGUGCGCAGGCGGAUUGAUAAGUCAGGGGUGAAAUCACUCAGCUUAACUGAGUAACUGCCAUUGAUACUGUUAGUCUAGAAUAUAAAUGGUGCAGGCGGAAUGAAUCAUGUAGAGGUGACAUUCAUAGAUAUGAUUCAGAACACCGAUCGCGAAGGCAGCUUGCAAAGAUAUUAUUGACGCUGAGGCACGAAAGCGUGGGUAGCGAACAGGAUUAGAUACCCUGGUAGUCCACGCUGUAAACGAUGAUAACUCGUUGUCGGCGAUACACAGUC